rnacentral:rRNA from 1 species
UACGGAGGGUGCGAGCGUUGUCCGGAAUCACUGGGCGUAAAGGGCGCGUAGGCGGCGCGGAUAGUCGGCGGUGAAAGCCCGGAGCUCAACUCCGGGUCGGCCGUCGAUACUUCCGGGCUUGAGCACUGUAGAGGCAGAUGGAAUUCCGGGUGUAGCGGUGGAAUGCGUAGAGAUCCGGAAGAACACCGGUGGCGAAGGCGGCCACCUGGGCCUAACCUGACGCUGAGGCGCGAAGGCUAGGGGAGCGAACGGG